UACGUAGGGUGCGAGCGUUACUCGGAAUUACUGGGCGUAAAGUGUGCGCAGGCGGCCGCGCAAGUCGAGUGUGAAAGCCCCGAGCUUAACUUGGGAAUUGCGCUCGAAACUACGUGGCUGGAGUGUGGCAGAGGAAGGUGGAAUUCCACGUGUAGCGGUGAAAUGCGUAGAGAUGUGGAGGAACACCAAUGGCGAAGGCAGCCUUCUGGGCCAACACUGACGCUCAUGCACGAAAGCGUGGGGGGCAAACAGG
rnacentral:rRNA from 1 species